AUUGAACGCUGGCGGCAUGCCUUACACAUGCCAGUCGAACGGUAACAGGUCUUCGGAUGCUGACGAGUGGCGAACGGGUGAGUAAUACAUCGGAACGUGCCCGAUCGUGGGGGAUAACGAAGCGAAAGCUUUGCUAAUACCGCAUACGAUCUACGGAUGAAAGCAGGGGACCGCAAGGCCUUGCGCGAUCGGAGCGGCCGAUGGCAGAUUAGGUAGUUGGUGGGAUAAAAGCUUACCAAGCCGACGAUCUGUAGCUGGUCUGAGAGGACGACCAGCCACACUGGGACUGAGACACGGCCCAGACUCCUACGGGAGGCAGCAGUGGGGAAUUUUGGACAAUGGGCGAAAGCCUGAUCCAGCCAUGCCGCGUGCAGGAUGAAGGCCUUCGGGUUGUAAACUGCUUUUGUACGGAACGAAAAGACUCUGGUUAAUACCUGGGGUCCAUGACGGUACCGUAAGAAUAAGCACCGGCUAACUACGUG
rnacentral:rRNA from 1 species